UACGUAGGCAGCGAGCGUUGUUCGGAAUUACCGGGCGUAAAGAGUGUGUAGGCGGUGCUCUAAGUUCGGUGUGAAAUCUCCUGGCUUAACUGGGAGGGUGCGCCGGAAACUGGAGUGCUUGAGCGUGGGAGAGGAAAGCGGAAUUCCCCAAGUAGAGGUGAAAUUCGUAGAUAUGGGGAGGAACACCGGUGGCGAAGGCGGCCAUCUGGACGGAUACUGACGCUGAGACGCGAAAGCGUGGGGAGCAAACAGG
rnacentral:rRNA from 1 species